rnacentral:lncRNA from 1 species
AGUCUCAAACUCAGAACAACCUUAUACAUGAUUUACAAAUACAAUGAAAUAAGCAUAUUUUGGUUUUCCCGUUUGAAUGAUUUUACACUAGUAAUUUUGGGGCCCUUCAUAGCUUGUUGUUCGGUGUGAGCCAAGGCUCUUUGUUGAAGACUCCAGUUGGUAUUACUUAUUGUGCAAACAGAGUGUGGGGACAGAGACAGCAUAUUGAUUUACCUGAAAAAAAACACAUCUCAGUGAUAUCAUAAUCAACUCUCCUUCAUUGGCAUUGUCCACGGCUGGUUCAUGGAUAGUCUGGCAACCUCCAUGCAGUCUGAGGUCUGUCAAUGCCGCGGCGUUAUGUCUUCAUUACAUUCAGCGAGCUUUCGUACACUUUUAUCCUGAUUACAUACAGGAUUAAAUCCCACAUGAAUGGGUUAAGACAGACUUAUACUGCCCUUCAUGUCUGGCGGGACCAUCUCGUCUGCCAUUUGUUAUUGUUGUUGUGCAGACUACGCGCCUUUUUUUAAAAAAAGAGGUAACCAAGCAAGGGAGAUAAACAAUACGGUGAAUGAUGCGUUUCGAUGACUUUACUUUAGUGAAUAACAUUUUUCAAAUAAAAAUUUCCAAACUUUUUAUUCAUUGAAAGAGAAGAUAUGUAUCAACUGAUUUCAAAUAUAAAAAAAAUUGUGUGCUAGCAUCUGCUGUUUUAUACAGAAAAUCAAAAUAUAUCGAUGUUGACCUACUUCAUGUACUUUCAAUGCCAUUACACUGUUGUAUAUAUGCGGACGGCGAAUGCAUUCAACCUAUUUUUUUCAAGACAAAUAUGGCAUACAUCGAUGUAAGACUAUGGUUUUGUCACUUUUAUAAAUGAUUACAAAGUUCCCAAAAUUUCACCAUAUUCCGUGUUUAUGGACUUAUCAGUUUUUAUUUGAUUUGCCUCUUACACGGACCUGUACUUAAAAGGUCUUAUUACCUCUCUAAAGAACAGCUUGCAGUCUUCAAUCCUAUUAAUGGUAAAAAAAGGAUAAAUUUUGUAAUUUAGCCACUUUGGUAAAUGUAUAUGUAUACACAGAUAAAGUCAGACGGAAGUAACUAUUUUUGCGCCAGUUUUUUCUAUUGAGUCAUAUUUUCCUCCUUUCUGGGAGCACCCGAAGAGUUGUCACAAACCAGUUUAAGGGAGCUACCAUUUGAUUUUUAUGGGGGGGGGGGGGGGGGCUAGGAUGAAAAAUUGUGUCCUGCCUUUUUUUUAUUUGUAAUCUCUGUCCUGCCUUUUUAUUUUUCAGUCUAUUCGGUCCUGCCUUUUUUUUCUUAGCUUAUCCUGACUUUUUUACAACAAUUGUCAUCCUGCCUUUUUUUUUUUUUGCCAAGUUACUCAUCCUGCCUUUUUUUUUUUACUCAAAAUCCUGUCCUGCCUUUUUUUUUUAAUUUCAUCCUAGCCCC